AUAAAUUUUACGAAUCAUUUUAGAGGAUAUCAUACUGCUUACAAGUUUUAUGCAAAGCUACAGACUGAAACUGAGAUUGACUAUGGACCUUUCUUAUGAAACUAGUGGCGUUAAUGAGAAUAUGCUGAAAACACAUUUUAUUUUAUAAUGCAGAAGCUUAUGAACUUGACUAAGGUUGAAUUCUUUGAUUUAUGUGAAGUUUUCAUUUGCCUCCACACGUUCAUAAUUUCUGCAUUAGACUUCUGAUGCUUAAUGCAGAGCUACAAAGCCUGAUGCAGUGAUUUUUAAUGUUCAAGUCAAUGUGUUGUAACUAAUCCUGAUAAAAAAGGAGUACGGUUGCUCUGUGCCACUUUCUUUAUCUAUUAUCUAUACUAUUGGCAAGAAAACAGAUUUUAUGAGAUAAUUUACAUAAUAGGAGUUUAACUUUGUAACUAGUUUCAUUUUUGAAGCAUAAUUUAGAGGACAAUUUACUUUUUGCAAUUUCAUAUGUCAAUUGGUUGUUCUUCACUCAUUGUCAUCCCAGUAGUGAGAGAACUAUUUUUUGCAAAAUUUAUCAAC
rnacentral:lncRNA from 1 species